AUUGAACGCUGGCGGCAUGCUUUACACAUGCAAGUCGAACGGUAACAGGUUAAGCUGACGAGUGGCGAACGGGUGAGUAAUGCAUCGGAACGUGCCCGAUCGUGGGGGAUAACACAGCGAAAGCUGCGCUAAUACCGCAUACGAUCUGAGGAUGAAAGCGGGGGACCGUAAGGCCUCGCGCGAUCGGAGCGGCCGAUGUCAGAUUAGGUAGUUGGUGAGGUAAAGGCUCACCAAGCCAACGAUCUGUAGCUGGUCUGAGAGGACGACCAGCCACACUGGGACUGAGAAGCGGCCCAGACGCCUACGGGAGGCAGCAGUGGGGAAUUUUGGACAAUGGGCGAAAGCCUGAUCCAGCAAUGCCGCGUGCAGGAAGAAGGCCUUCGGGUUGUAAACUGCUUUUGUACGGAGCGAAAAGGCCCUCUCUAAUACAGUGGGCUCAUGACGGUACCGUAAGAAUAAGCACCGGCUAACUACGUGCCAGCCGCCGCCGUAA
rnacentral:rRNA from 1 species